rnacentral:rRNA from 1 species
UUGGAGAAUGUAUAGUCCUCUUAUGAGGCUAGUUAUGUUUUUGAGUAGUAAUGCAUCAUAUCUUAAGAGGUUACAAAAUUAAACAUAAUACCGACUAUGUUGGAUAAAGUUCUAGAUAGAAUACUGAUUAUGACAAUUUUCUAUCUACAUGUCUUGACCAAAUUACGUGCCAGCCGUCGCGGUAAUACGUAAAAGACUAGUGUUAUUCAUCUUUAAUAGGUUUAAAGGGUACCUAGACGGUAUUACUAGCCUACCAAGGUAAUAGUUAUGCUUGAGUUUUAUAUGAGAAGGGGAGUAUUUAAGGAGUAGAGUUGUAAUUCUUUGAUACUUUAAGGACUGGUAAAGGCGAAAGCAACCUUUUAUGUAAAAACUGACGUUGAGGGACGAAGGCUUAGAUAGCGAACAGGAUUAGAUACCCUAGUAGUCUUUGCAGAAAAUGAUGAAUGCCAUAGACUAGGUUUUAAUUUGGUCUAUAAAUGAAAGUGUAAGCAUUCCACCUCAAGAGUAAUGUGGCAACGCAGGAACUGAAAUCAUUAGACCGUUUCUGAGAACAGUAGUGAAGUAUGUUAUUUAAUUCGAUAAUCCUCGAAAAACCUUACCACAACUUGAAUGUGUCAUCGAUAGAUUAAGGUAAUAUAAACACCUUAAAAGUGAGUAGUGUAGAAGUACACUCCUCCCGCCGGUGAUGACACAAGCGUUGCACGGUUGUCUUCAGCUAAUGUCGUGAGAUUUUGGUUAGUUCCAUAAAAUUAGCGUAAACCCCGGCUUUAUUUUUAAAUUACUAUGAUAGAGCAGUUCAUCGAUACAUUGAAUACAUUGAUAA